rnacentral:rRNA from 1 species
AUUGAACGCUGGCGGCAGGCUUAACACAUGCAAGUCGAGCGGGGGAAGGUAGCUUGCUACCGGACCUAGCGGCGGACGGGUGAGUAAUGCUUAGGAAUCUGCCUAUUAGUGGGGGACAACAUCUCGAAAGGGAUGCUAAUACCGCAUACGUCCUACGGGAGAAAGCAGGGGAUCUUCGGACCUUGCGCUAAUAGAUGAGCCUAAGUCGGAUUAGCUAGUUGGUGGGGUAAAGGCCUACCAAGGCGACGAUCUGUAGCGGGUCUGAGAGGAUGAUCCGCCACACUGGGACUGAGACACGGCCCAGACUCCUACGGGAGGCAGCAGUGGGGAAUAUUGGACAAUGGGGGGAACCCUGAUCCAGCCAUGCCGCGUGUGUGAAGAAGGCCUUAUGGUUGUAAAGCACUAUAAGCGAGGAGGAGGCUACUUUAGUUAAUACCUAGAGAUAGUGACGUUACUCGCAGAAUAAGCACCGGCUAACCCUGUGCCAGCAGCCGCCGUAA